AGUUUCCCUUGUUAAAUAGAAAAUAAGCAGGUGUUAAGACUGAUUGCCAUCGUGUUGACUUGUCGAUGAAAAUAGAAAAACUGGGGGGAAAGUGACAUUUUCGAAGAAAAAUGGGAGCAACUGUUUGAAGUGAUAUGCCAAGAAUAAAUGCAGUACUAGUACGGUGUCACAUGCCUGUUUUCCCGGCACUGAGGGGGUGGAGGCGAGAGGAACAGGAAGUCAAGAGCGGCCUCCACUACACACGAGUUUGAGGUCAGGGAGCUACAGGAGACCCUGUCCCAAACAAGCCAACCCCAAACCGGGAGAACCUCUUUCUAGGGAGGACUGAGGAGCCAGAAUCCCCCACUGGUCCAUUCCAUGGGAGAUAUGAGAAGGCUUCCCACUUGGCAGCUCUGGCUUCACGCAGCAGGCUGCUCCGCAGGUGGAGGAGAGGGGUCUCCAAUGGGCCAGAAAUGCCUGCUGCCGGGAGAAAGUAUACUUCGUGUCUCCAGGUCAGUACUGUGGGUGCCAGAGACUCUUCAUCCCUGACAAGUUCCUAUUAGAGGCUGCCGCUGCAGGACCAGGGACUGAGGGCUGAGUCAUGUCCACAGAGGAGUUUCUUUGUCUCGAAAGCCCAUGGUGAAGCCACUGCACACACACAGCCGUAUUACGGACUUGCCUGUGGAGAUUCCCCCAAACCUCGCCUUGGGUGGCAGCCAGCUUCUCUCCUGGCUCUAAUCAUACCCUUAGCUUUCUCUUCACUAAUAGACCUGUGUUGUUCAUUCACCACCAACCUUAGGACUUUGCUGCAGCAGCUGGACAGGCAAGAUGCUCUCUCACCUAGUUGGGAAUGUCUUCCGAAGGACACACCAUGGUAUUCUCUCCUCAGCUCCGGAUUCUGGGUGCUUCCCUGGUCCCAAGCAGUAGCUAGGAAGAAACUGCAGCGGUACUUUGUGAGCAUGGCUUGAAGAUGAUGGGGCUGCCAGCCUGACUGUGUUCUUGCCUCUCUGUUGCAUCUGUAGAAACAACUUUCAUGCUCUACAGCCAUGGUUCUCAUCCUUCCUAGUGUGGCGACCCUUUAAUACAGCUCCUCAUGUGGUGGGGACCCCAAACAUAAAGUUAUUUUCACAGCUACUUCAUAGCUGUAACUUUGCUACUGCUAUGGAUUGUAAUGUGGCUCUCUUUGUUUUCAGAUGGUCUUAGGUGACCCCUGUGAAAGGACCAUUCAACCCCCAAAGGGGUUGCGACUCACAGGUUGAGAACCACUGCUCUAGACCAUGUGUGACUGAGGAAAUGACGUAGGGUUCCUCAUGUCAUUGGCCAGACUUCUGUUUUUGCUGACCUCCUGCCCACACUUUGCCAGCUCUCUUCCUACCUGACCAAUAUCCUGCACGUGCUGAUCUUCCGAUUAUGUUCAGAGUGACCUUGGGUGUCUAUCCCUUUGGGGUAUGCAUGUAUCGGGCAUCUCCAUCCUGUCCCUGAAGAUGGGCUUCUCUUCAACCACCAUGGGAUCUUCUUGCUGGCAAGCCACAGGAAAAAAAGAACACAAUGCAGUAACAUUUUGUGCCAAUCCCAGCACCUCCCCAGACAAACUCUUCCUCAGGCCGAGGCCGAGGAGAUAGUGUGGCCCUGUUCUCCAGUGGUCAGCAAACACAGUAAGAGCCAAGGCUACGGCUCUUGUUCCACACGCAGCGGCGCUGGUGCCGAGUGAGGCUCCCACUGAGAAAGGACAUCGAUGGCAGCGGUGACCUCAGACUGUGGCCAGGAAGGAGUUCUGGAGAGUUGGCGACAGUGGAAUGAUUCCCUCCUCAGGAGACUCCUGGAUGAUUUCAUUAGUUAUCAUUAUUGGU